UGGCUCAUUUAUUUGCUGAGUGGGACUGGAGGCCCAUAGCCGCAGAAGAUCCUGGCCCCACAGCAGCAGAGAGCAAGCUCAGAGUGCUGUCAGGUCUCUCCUGCUGCCUCUCGCCAUGAUGAUGUAGUGGAAAAAUGGUCAACAAAGCUAUUUCCUACUGUGUGCUAAAUGCCCAUCAUGGGAAGUCCCAGGAACAAGAAGAUCAUGGGUGAGGCAGCUGCUCAGAAACAAAUGUCUUUCAACAAUUACCCCCAGGCAUGGGAAGAGGAGACUAGGACACGGACACACAUCGAGAAAGAUCAUGGGAAGACACAGAGAGAAGGCAGCCGUCUGUAAGCCAAGGAGAGAGGCCUCACAAGAAACCAACCCUGCUGACACCUUAAUCUCAGGCUUCUGGACUCACGAAUUGUGAAAAAAAAAAAAUUAAUUUCUGUUGUUUAAACCACACAGUCUGUGGAAUUUUAUUAUGGCAACCCUAAAAACUAAUACAUGUGCUUUACAAUUUACAAAGCUUUUUCUCAUAAACUCGUUUAAAUGUCAAAACAAUCCAGUUGCGCAGAGUAUUAUCCCCAUUUUACUGAGGAAACAGACUCAGAAACUAAUAGCCUAACGUCCCAGUGUUCAUGCGUGGCAGAUUUUGGCUUGGAUCCAGACUUUCUGACUCCAGAUCCCAGGUUCUUUCAAAUGAACUCUGUUUCCUUUUUGCAAAGUGCUCAGCACCAUCGUUUUCAUGUUUUUCUGUCCAUCAGCCAUUUACAGGCAGGCUACAAUCUGUUCCCUUAGUCUGGAGAGUGGCUAAGUGAUGUGCUUAGGCUUACACAAUGAGUUGGUGGCAGGAAUGGUAUUAAAGUGGCUCCUGAAAUUCUGGGUCAUUUUAAAGUGAUGAUUUCUUAAUUUUCCUGUUCACUCAGCCAAAUUCAAAGAGUCAAGGAUUUUUGAGUAGCUUUGUUCCUGGUGCAGAACAGCCCCACCUCUAAUGUCUACUUCAGGUGAGCCUGCCGCAGGUGAUCCAGGAAUUCAAACGCUGAGCACCUGAAGAAUCUAAGUUAUUUACAGGCCUCACUGCAGGGUUUGGCCCUUAAGGAGCUGUUUUGGGCCCUUAAGGAGCUGCUUUUGGCCCUUAAGGAGCUGCUUUUAACUGUCACCACCUACUGGGAGGAUAAUUGACCAGGGAACUGAGUUCGUCUGUGGUUUGCUUUCAACUUAAAAUAGUCAUAUCUUUUCCUGAGAAUAUUGAUUGAAAAGUUGAUAUCAAAAUAAGCAAAGGAGCUACACUAGCAAAUUUCAGUGAAUGAGG
rnacentral:lncRNA from 1 species